rnacentral:rRNA from 1 species
UACAGAGGGUGCGAGCGUUAAUCGGAGUUACUGGGCGUAAAGGGCGCGUAGGCGGUUUUGAAAGUGUGAUGUGAAAGCCCCGAGCUUAACUUGGGAAGAGCAUCGCGGACUGCAGAACUAGAGUAUAUGAGAGGGUGGCGGAAUUUCCGGUGUAGCGGUGAAAUGCGUAGAGAUCGGAAGGAACGUCGAUGGCGAAGGCAGCCACCUGGCAUAAUACUGACGCUGAGGCGCGAAAGCGUGGGGAGCGAACAGG